rnacentral:rRNA from 1 species
UAGGAUAGAGGCCUACCAUGGUGGUAACGGGUAACGGGGUGUUAGGGCACGACACCGGAGAGGGAGCCUGAGAAACGGCUACCACAUCCAAGGAUGGCAGCAGGCGCGCAAAUUACCCAAUCCCGACACGGGGAGGUAGUGACAAUAAAUAACAAUACGGGGUUCUUUCGGAUCUCGUAAUUGGAAUGAGUACAAUUUAAAUCUCUUAACGAGGAACAAUUGGAGGGCAAGUCUGGUGCCAGCAGCCGCGGUAAUUCCAGCUCCAAUAGCGUAUAUUAAAGUUGUUGCAGUUAAAAAGCUCGUAGUUGAAUUUCGGGGUUAGUAGGUUGGUCAUGCCUCUGGUAUGUACUGGUCUCACUGAUUCCUCCUUCCUUAUGAACCGUAAUGCCAUUAAUUUGGUGUUGCGGGGAAUUUGGACUGUUACUUUGAAAAAAUUAGAGUGUUUAAAGCAGGCUAACGCUUGAAUACAUUAGCAUGGAAUAAUGAAAUAGGACGUUCGAUCUUAUUUUGUUGGUUUCUAGGAUUGACGUAAUGAUUAAUAGGGAUAGUUGGGGGCAUUAGUAUUCAAUUGUCAGAGGUGAAAUUCUUGGAUUUAUUGAAGACUAACUACUGCGAAAGCAUUUGCCAAGGAUGUUUUCAUUAAUCAAGAACGAAAGUUAGGGGAUCGAAGACGAUCAGAUACCGUCGUAGUCUUAACCAUAAACUAUGCCGACUAGGGAUCGGA